AGAUUGAACGCUGGCGGAAUGCUUUACACAUGCAAGUCGAGCGGCAGCGCGGGGCAACCUGGCGGCGAGCGGCGAACGGGUGAGUAAUGCAUCGGAACAUGUCCAUGUCGUGGGGGAUAGCCCGGCGAAAGCCGGAUUAAUACCGCAUACGCCCGAGAGGGGGAAAGUGGGGGACCGCAAGGCCUCACGCGAUUGGGUUGGCCGAUGUCCGAUUAGCUAGUUGGCGGGUAAAGCCCACCAAGGCGAUGAUCGGUAGCUGGUCUGAGAGGAUGAUCAGCCACACUGGGACUGAGACACGGCCCAGACUCCUACGGGAGGCAGCAGUGGGAAUUUUGGACAAUGGGGGCAACCCGUGAUCCAGCCAUCCGCGUGAGUGAAGAAGGCCUUCGGGUGUAAAGCUCUUUGUCCGGAACGUAACGGUUACGUAGUAAGUAUCGUCGUACCUACGUAGACGGUACCGGAAGAAUAA
rnacentral:rRNA from 1 species